UUGGAGGGCAAGUCUGGUGCCAGCAGCCGCGGUAAUUCCAGCUCCAAUAGCGUAUAUUAAAGUUGUUGCAGUUAAAAAGCUCGUAGUUGAAUUUCGGGAUUAGUACGCUAGUCGUGCCUUCGGUACGUACUGGUGUUACUGAUUUCUACCUUCUGACGAACCAUCAUGUCAUUAAUUUGGUGUGGUGGGGAAUCAGGACUGUUACUUUGAAAAAAUUAGAGUGUUUAAAGCAGGCUCGCGCUUGAAUACAUUAGCAUGGAAUAAUGAAAUAGGACGUUGAUCCUAUUUUGUUGGUUUCUAGGAUUGACGUAAUGAUUAAUAGGGAUAGUUGGGGGCAUUAGUAUUCAAUUGUCAGAGGUGAAAUUCUUGGAUUUAUUGAAGACUAACUACUGCGAAAGCAUUUGCCAAGGAUGUUUUCAUUAAUCAAGAACGAAAGUUAGGGGAUCGAAGACGAUCAGAUACCGUCGUAGUCUUAACCAUAAACUAUGCCGACUAGGGAUCGGAUGAUGUUAUUUUUAAUGACUCAUUCGGCGCCUUACGGGAAAC
rnacentral:rRNA from 1 species